ACUCCUACGGGAGGCAGCAGUGGGGAAUUUUGGACAAUGGGCGCAAGCCUGAUCCAGCCAUUCCGCGUGAGUGAAGAAGGCCUUCGGGUUGUAAAGCUCUUUCGGCAGGGACGAAACGGUGGAGGCGAAUACCCUCUGCUAAUGACGGUACCUGAAGAAGAAGCACCGGCUAACUACGUGCCAGCAGCCGCGGUAAU
rnacentral:rRNA from 1 species